rnacentral:rRNA from 1 species
CCCCGGUUACCACACCAUGGGAGUUGGUUUGACCUGAAGACGGUGCGCUAACUCAGCAAUGGAGAGGCAGCCGGCCACGGUCAGGUCAGCGACUGGGGGUGAAA